AUGUGAUGAGGCAAUUUUCUUAAUAAUUCCUUGAAUCUAUCCCAUUCCUCAUACAAGGAUUCAUCAUCCAAUUUUUGGAAGGUAGUGAUCUCUCUUCGUAACUU
rfam:Gossypium raimondii Chr13_contig_288, whole genome shotgun sequence.